UGGUAUUAUUAGACAUCAUGUAUUUUUGUAUGUAUGAAAAAAAGGCAAAGAUUUUAAAAUACAUUUCUCAAAAGAGGAAUAAAUAAAAUGCUAAAUUAGAUAUUAUUUUUUUGUUGAUGAAGAAUGAAGGAGCUUUCAAUGAUUUUAGAAUUUUCCAUUUGAUCAGAUUUAUGUAAAUCUGAUCUUCCCCCUUGGUGCUUGGGAGAGAGUGGGUUUGUUUCAGAUGGGGACCUUGAUUAGUUCUGUUAUGUCCUGAUGGAGAGGGUGGGUUAGUUCUGUUAUGUCCUGAUGGAGAGGGUGUGUUUGUUUUAGAUAGGGGAGCUUGGUUAGUUCUGUUAUGUCCUGAUGGAGAGGGUGGGUUAGUUCUGUUAUGUCCUGAUGGAGAGGGUGUGUUUGUUUUAGAUGGGGGAGCUUGGUUAGUUCUGUUAUGUCCUGAUGGAGAGGGUGGGUUAGUUCUGUUAUGUCCUGAUGGAGAGGGUGGGUUAGUUCUGUUAUGUCCUGAUGGAGAGGGUGUGUUUGUUUUAGAUGGGGGAGCUUGGUUAGUUCUGUUAUGUCCUGAUGGAGAGGGUGGGUUAGUUCUGUUAUGUCCUGAUGGAGAGGAUGUGUUUGUUUUAGAUGGGGAGCUUGGUUAGUUCUGUUAUGUCCUGAUGGAGAGGGUGGGUUAGUUCUGUUAUGUCCUGAUGGAGAGGGUGUGUUUGUUUUAGAUGGGGAGCUUGGUUAGUUCUGUUAUGUCCUGAUGGAGAGGGUGGGUUAGUUCUGUUAUGUCCUGAUGGAGACAAAUACCUCCCAUUGAAUCUUCAUGACUCCACGUUAAUGCAGAUUGUGAAUGAAAGAUGUAUUUUAUGCAUUAUGUUGCCAUUAAAUGGGAUCAUCGUUUUUAUGGACUACUGCACCUUCAUAACCAAGCACACACACACACCCAC
ensembl:lncRNA